rnacentral:tRNA from 1 species
GCCCUUGUAGUUUAAUGGAUAAAACGAGAAUCUCCUAAGUUCUAAAUCCAGGUUCGAUUCCUGGCGAGGGCAC